UUUCCGUAGGUGGGCCUGCGGAAGGAUCAUUAUUGAAUGAAACACUUCUGGCUUUAUGCUGUUGUGCUGGCCCUUUGGGCAAUGUGCACACGGCUCUGGUCACUUGUUUCUUCUGUUCCACCUGUGCACUGCCUGUAGACACGCUGUGUCUAUGAUAUUUGUUAACACACAACAAUGUUAGUUGGCAUGUUAUAUAUAAUAAUAAAAUAUACAACUUUCAACAACGGAUCUCUUGGCUCUC
rnacentral:misc_RNA from 1 species